GAUGAACGCUGGCGGCGUGCCUAAUACAUGCAAGUCGAGCGAACAGACGAGGAGCUUGCUCCUCUGACGUUAGCGGCGGACGGGUGAGUAACACGUGGAUAACCUCCCUAUCAGACUGGGAUAACUUCGGGAAACCGGAGCUAAUACCGGAUAAUAUAUUGAACCGCAUGGUUCAAUAGUGAAAGACGGUUUUGCUGUCACUUAUAGAUGGAUCCGCGCCGCAUUAGCUAGUUGGUAAGGUAACGGCUUACCAAGGCAACGAUGCGUAGCCGACCUGAGAGGGUGAUCGGCCACACUGGAACUGAGACACGGGCCAGACUCCUACGGGAGGCAGCAGUAGGGAAUCUUCCGCAAUGGGCGAAAGCCUGACGGAGCAACGCCGCGUGAGUGAUGAAGGUCUUCGGAUCGUAAAACUCUGUUAUUAGGGAAGAACAAAUGUGUAAGUAACUAUGCACGUCUUGACGGUACCUAAUCAGAAAGCCACGGCUAACUACGUG
rnacentral:rRNA from 1 species